rnacentral:rRNA from 1 species
AUUGAACGCUGGCGGCAGGCCUAACACAUGCAAGUCGAGCGAGCGGCGGACGGGUGAGUAAUGUAUGGGGACUGCCCGGUAGAUGGGGAUAACUACUGGAAACGGUUGCUAAUACCGCAUACUAUCGGAUAACCCAUAUGGGAUUAGCUAGUGGGUGGGGUAAAGGCUCACCUAGGCGACGAUCUCUAGCUGGUCUGAGAGGAUGAUCAGCAACACUGGGACUGAGACACGGUCCAGACUCCGACGGAGGCAGCAGUGGGGAAUAUUGGACAAUGGGCGAAAGCCUGAUGCAGCCAUGCCGCGUGUAUGAAGAAGGCCUUAGGGUUGUAAAGUACUUUAAGCUGGGAGGCGUUACCCGCAGAAGAAGCACCGGCUAACUCCGUGCCAGCCGCCGCGGUAAUAC